rnacentral:rRNA from 1 species
GACGAACGCUGGCGGCGUGCUUAACACAUGCAAGUCGAACGAUGAAGCGGUGCUUGCACCGUGGAUUAGUGGCGAACGGGUGAGUAAUACGUGAGUGACCUACCUUUGACUCUGGGAUAAGCCUGGGAAACUGGGUCUAAUACCGGAUACGACCAAUCUCUGCAUGGGGUGUUGGUGGAAAGCGUUAUGGAGUGGUUUUAGAUGGGCUCACGGCCUAUCAGCUUGUUGGUGAGGUAAUGGCUUACCAAGGCGACGACGGGUAACCGGCCUGAGAGGGUGACCGGCCACACUGGGACUGAGACACGGCCCAGACUCCUACGGGAGGCAGCAGUGGGGAAUAUUGCACAAUGGGCGCAAGCCUGAUGCAGCGACGCCGCGUGAGGGAUGACGGCCUUCGGGUUGUAAACCUCUGUUAGCAUCGAAGAAGCGAAAGUGACGGUAGGUGCAGAGAAAGCGCCGGCUAACUACGUG